rnacentral:lncRNA from 1 species
GUCCUGUGGUAGCUCUGGUUAAUGGAAUAUGCUUUUUGUUAUUCUGUAGUAUUUAUGCAUGUUGUGUCGACUGUUAUUUUUUUUUAUGUUUGUGCAUUUAUUUUUCCUUAUUAUAGAUACUACCAUAAAUACUGGAUUUUUCAAAAUUUCAUAUUGCCUUGUAUUUUCUUUGUUAAAAAGAGGAGGGAUCUAUCUUGUGCAUGUAAAUUCGCAGUAAACAGUUUGAUGCUAAUUUCAAUACAAUCUAUUAUGUGGGACAGUAUUUUUAUCUGUGAUAAGUGUUCUUGUCUUGUGUGUGUUUGUACUGUAUUUCUGUCACGUAGUGUUUUCAUUUCAGCGAUAUUGUUUAACAUUGUCAUAAAAGCGGGAGGCUUAGCUAGCCAUAAAACAAACCAUUUUUUCUUAAAAUGUCCUGUACAAAGUCUGGAAUAUAGCAGUUGUUAAAUAGUUCGUUUCUUUGUAUGUUUGCUUUUGCUUUUGUUGCAUUUCAGUGUUCCUCUUGUUUUCCUCUUAUAGUUGAUGGUUUUCCCUCGAUUUUAGUUUGUAACCCGGAUUUGUUUUCUCUCAACUAAUUUAUAACUUUUCAACACCGGUAUACUACUGUUGCCUUUAUUAAUAAAAAAAAUCCCAUAUCACCCUAGCAAUGCCAUUGACUUGCUUGUCUUGCCAAACCCUAUGGUCAUAUUACAAACAUUUGUUUUGCAAACUAUUUAUAGUUAUGCAUAUUAGUUCCCCAUACACCAGAAGCAUAAGCAGAACAAAAAGCUCUAUUCGAUGAUUUAAAAAAAUUCUAUGACAGUAAUUUAAUAUUACGUCAUCUAUCUGAAUACCAUAAUAAGCUUCUUUAAUAUCUGAAACUAAAUUAUUUACAUAAAUAGAAAAUAAAGUCGGCGAUAAAACACAGACUUGUUUUUCACCAAGAGCUACAUGGAAAAAAGAUGCUAUAAAGUGACUGCACAAUUCAUAUUAUUGUAUAAAAAAGCAAAUACAAAAAAAAAAAAACAAAAAAAAACAACAUGUAAAACACUGUUGUGCAUCAUUUAUAGCAUAUAAUACAAAUGCCGCCGAAACACCAAAUAAGUGUCGGAUUGAUGUAAAGCAAUUGCAAGUCUAGCAAUACUAGCAUCAUUUGAUCAUUAUUUUGUUAUAUAAAUAUAAUUAAUACUAAUAGUAUGCAUAACAUUCUUCCAAAUAAGAUUGUUUGCUAUCAGAAUUCUGAAUGAUGUUGGAAUGUAUGGAUGUUAGAUGUCACUAUUAUACAAAGGUACUCGGAAUGAUGAUGAAUGCGUAGAUGUGAGGUGUAACUUUUUUUUCACAAAAAAACCUGUUUCUUUCACCAAUUUUUUUUAACUAAUUGCGGCAUGUAUGAUAAAGUAACCCUGGACAUGCUUCUCGGUAUGGUAAUGAUUCUUUCCCAUUAUUCUUAAUGGACCCAAAUGAUAUAUCAAUUAGAAUAAUGUUGUUUAUACAUGUUAUUUAGAAAAUACAGAUAUUUUUAGGUUUAUUGAUGUUUGAUAUCUGUCAAUCUAUAUUUAAAUAAUUUAAUUUUGGAUGUAACGCGUCAUCUGAUUGGCUGACGUUAUUUUGUUAAUGAGCCCAUAGACAUAAUUUAGUCAUGUGACCGUGACGUCAUCAACGUUUUUUC